rnacentral:sRNA from 1 species
UUGCGCAAGUGAUGAGUAAAUGAGCAAUCUUAGCAAUCAUUGGUCGCGGGUCUCGCCGUAAGAUUCUCCUCAGUUUCACGGCCCGGACAGAUGUCCACCCGACCCGCCCAAUCAGGUGCGUCGGCGCCGCCGAACCCACCGGUUCGAGCAGGCACCCGGGUCCGCACCGCCCAAUCAGGCGGGCGAAGAAAGCGGCGAUACGAUUGCCUGCACCGGACGAAUUCCCCCGAGGGGGCCCAAUGGAUUGGGCCCCCU